rnacentral:rRNA from 1 species
AUGAUGUUGAAAUGGAUGCGUGCUGCAGGAGCAGCAGAGGCGUCGUGUGAGCCUUGGGUUCUUAUCAAUUCGUUCGUGCGUGCCCUUGGUCGCAUGCGCGCCUCAGCAGGGCCAGGGAAGCAGUGUCAGGUGGAUCCUGGAGGAGCACUGGUGUGGGAUCCGCUGCUGCCAGUGGUUACAGACGGCGGCGACGACGACGAAGACUGUCCCGUCCUCUGGAACAGUGGAUGCAUUGAGCUUGAGAUGACGAUCCGCCACUCCAUCCAUGAUUACUGUUUUCCCCCUUCUUUUUGUGGAGAUGAUAUCAGUACUCUUUAUCAAUGCUGUAAUAACCAAGGUGCAUGUGUCACUCGCUCAAUCAAGUGUGUAACGGACCCUGCUUAA